rnacentral:rRNA from 1 species
AUUGAACGCUGGCGGCAUGCUUUACACAUGCAAGUCGAACGGUAACAGGGUGCUUGCACCGCUGACGAGUGGCGAACGGGUGAGUAAUGCAUCGGAACGUGCCCAGCCAUGGGGGAUAACUACGCGAAAGCGUAGCUAAUACCGCAUACGCCCUGAGGGGGAAAGUGGGGGAUCGCAAGACCUCACGUGAUUGGAGCGGCCGAUGUCAGAUUAGCUAGUUGGUGAGGUAAAGGCUCACCAAGGCGACGAUCUGUAGCGGGUCUGAGAGGAUGAUCCGCCACACUGGGACUGAGACACGGCCCAGACUCCUACGGGAGGCAGCAGUGGGGAAUUUUGGACAAUGGGCGAAAGCCUGAUCCAGCCAUGCCGCGUGAGUGAAGAAGGCCUUCGGGUUGUAAAGCUCUUUCGGACGGAAAGAAAUCGCACGGGCUAAUAUCCCGUGUGGAUGACGGUACCGUAAGAAGAAGCACCGGCUAACUACGUGCCAGCAGCCGCAGUAA